rnacentral:rRNA from 1 species
GUGAGGAAUAUUGGUCAAUGGGCGAGAGCCUGAACCAGCCAAGUCGCGUGAAGGAAGAAGGAUCUAUGGUUCGUAAACUUCUUUUGCAGGGGAAUAAAGUGCGGGACGUGUCCUGUUUUGUAUGUACCCUGAGAAUAAGGAUCGGCUAACUCCGUGCCAGCAGCCGCGGUAAUACGGAGGAUCCGAGCGUUAUCCGGAUUUAUUGGGUUUAAAGGGUGCGUAGGUGGUUUGAUAAGUCAGCGGUGAAAGUUUGCAGCUUAACUGUAAAAAUGCCGUUGAAACUGUCGGACUUGAGUGUAAAUGAGGUAGGCGGAAUGCGUGGUGUAGCGGUGAAAUGCAUAGAUAUCACGCAGAACUCCGAUUGCGAAGGCAGCUUACUAAGCUACAACUGACACUGAAGCACGAAAGCGUGGGGAUCAAACAGGAUUAGAUACCCUGGUAGUCC